CAGAGUCGCGAGCUGGAGCCAGACCUGAGAGGGUCUCCGAGGCGCCUGGCUCCUCUGCAGGUGCAGCACACCUGGGCCGCUGAGCGCUGCGCCCGGCCAUUGUGAGGUGUCCCUAGAACACCUGCGGGAGCCGCCACUCCGGGGCCCCUCCCCGGGCAGGCAGUGGGCGGGGCUUGGGGCCGCGCCCACCAGCAGCCCGAGGUGGGCGGGGCCGCCACCCGGGGCGGGGCGGGGCGGGGCGGAGGCGGUUGAGCCCCAGCCUGGCAACCGCCAGCGUGGGGGAGGGGCGCGGCCUGGGACUGCAGGGGCCAGGCCCGGAGCACUCAGCCCCGAGGGUGUGCGUGGCCACCCUUCCCCGGGGAAGCCGAGGAAGGCGAGCUCAGGACCCCCCAAGGCACAGAGGCGCUGACUGGCCUGCUUCCCCGAGGGCCUGCCCUGCAGCCCUGCUGCCCUGCAGCCAAGCCACCCUGCUCCCCUGCAGCCCUGCAGCCCUGCUGCCCUGCUGCCCGGCAUCCAAGCCAACCAGCUGCCCUGCGGCCCUGCAGCCCUGACGUCCUGAGAGGCCUGCAGCCCUGACGCCCUGGGAUGCUUGCCGCAUUGCCGCCCUUUGCCCUGAAGCCAGGCGGCCCUGUGAGGCCUGCAGCCCUGAUGCCCUGCGAUGCCUGCAGCCCUGACGCCCUGGGAGGCUUGAAGGUUUGCAGCCCUUUGCCCUGAAGCAGGGUGGCCCUAGAGGCCUGCAGCCCUGAUGCCCUGGGAAGCUUGCAGCCCUGCAGCCCUGCCGCUCUUCAGCCCUUCCGCCCUGCUGCCCUGCCUCCCUGCAGCCCUGCUGCUCUGGUAGGCCUUCAGCCCUGCCGCCCUGCUGCCUGGCUGUUCAGCGACCCUGAGAGGCGUGCAGCCCUGCCGCGAUGCUUCCCUACCGCCUUGCCACCCUGCUGCCCUGCAGCCCUUCCACCAUGCUUCUCUGCAGUCCUACUGCCCUGCUGCCCUGCAGCGCUGCCACCCUGCGAGGCCUACAGCCCGGUCACCAGUGUCACCUACGCGGCCUUUAAGGUUUCUGAGCAGACACUGGACCCUGACCUGACUGGCGCUGCCUCCUCCGGCCCCCUCUCACUUGCAGAGAGAAGAGAUUUGGAAAGAAUCUCCAGGAAUCUCCACAGUCCUCUAGAACGUGUCUGCCUUUGGUCGGGUGUGCCGUGUAUUGGGAGGAUGUGGAUUAAGAAUCCUGCAAUCCUGGUGUAACUCUGAUACUGUGCAAGGAUCUGUGAUACUAAAUUAAAUUAAGCUGCUUUUCCCUCACUUGUCAUUUGCCCUCAGCGCUUGUCAAACAUAAAGCACAAAUAAAACUUAUUGGUAAGUAGAUUUU
rnacentral:lncRNA from 12 species